rnacentral:rRNA from 1 species
CUGGGCGUAAAGAGCUCGUAGGUGGUUUGUCACGUCGUCUGUGAAAUCCCGGGGCUUAACUUCGGGCGUGCAGGCGAUACGGGCAUAACUUGAGUGCUGUAGGGGAGACUGGAAUUCCUGGUGUAGCGGUGAAAUGCGCAGAUAUCAGGAGGAACACCAAUGGCGAAGGCAGGUCUCUGGGCAGUAACUGACGCUGAGGAGCGAAAGCAUGGGUAGCGAACAGGAUUAGAUACCCUGGUAGUCCAUGCCGUAAACGGUGGGCGCUAGGUGUAGGGGACUUCCACGUCUUCUGUGCCGCAGCUAACGCAUUAAGCGCCCCGCCUGGGGAGUACGGCCGCAAGGCUAAAACUCAAAGGAAUUGACGGGGGCCCGCACAAGCGGCGGAGCAUGUGGAUUAAUUCGAUGCAACGCGAAGAACCUUACCUGGGCUUGACAUACACCGGACCGGGCUAGAGAUAGUCCUUCCCUUGUGGCUGGUGUACAGGUGGUGCAUGGUUGUCGUCAGCUCGUGUCGUGAGAUGUUGGGUUAAGUCCCGCAACGAGCGCAACCCUUGUCUUAUGUUGCCAUCACGUGAUGGUGGGCACUCAUGAGAGACUGCCGGGGUUAACUCGGAGGAAGGUGGGGAUGACGUCAAAUCAUCAUGCCCCUUAUGUCCAGGGCUUCACACAUGCUACAAUGGUCGGUACAGCGAGUUGCCACACCGUAAGGUGGAGCUAAUCUCUUAAAGCCGGCCUCAGUUCGGAUUGGGGUCUGCAACUCGACCCCAUGAAGUCGGAGUCGCUAGUAAUCGCAG